rnacentral:lncRNA from 1 species
GGCGGCAAGACAAGUCGUAACUAAUUCCGCUCCGUGUACACGCAAUCAUUAUCGAUAACGUGAAUGCAUUGAAAUUAGAAAGACGCGAUCAUCCCAUUGUUUCUAUGGUUUUAGAAAGUCAUUGAAAUUAUUCUAAUCAAUGGUAG